GUAAUAGUAAUGUUAUGUUCUUUCAUAGACAAUGUUGGAGCAAUACCAAGGCCUGAUACAUAGAACCUCUGUCAAUAAACGGGUUUCAACAUACAGCCUUUUGACUAUAUGCAGUGAUGCAUCAUUGACUGAUGAGAUAAUAAAUGUGUAUUUCCAGCUCAUAAAAAAAUGGUUUACAAUGGAUAUACAUAUUUUCAACACGUUCUUCUUUGCGGCUUUCUGUAAUAGAGACUAUAAAAGAAUCAAAAGAUGGAGGAGAAAGGUUGAUAAAUUUGCAAAGGAACUCGGCCUUUAUUAUAUAGUUAAGAAGCAUGGAAGCAAAAAAGGAAGCCCAUUAGAUAAAUCGAAAUGAAAAAUAUAUCAAAAAAAAGAUGUGCUCCAACAACGCAAUGGACAUGAUUGUGAGGUUUUUAUAUGUGCGUAUGCCUUAAAAUUAAGUCAUGGAGAGAAUUUUAAUUUCACCUAGAAUGACAUGGACAACUUCCGUCUUGACAUAUUAGAAGAUAUUUUCUCGAACAUCAUUCGCACAUCUAUAGAAGAAAGAUCGUCAGCAAUACAACCAGCAUAUUCAUCACAUCAAAAAGCAUCUUCGGAUUCUAUAAAAUAUGCCAUCAACAUUGAAGGUGCAUAUCUAUUACAGUUUGCUAAUUUUCAUCAACGAAGUAAAAAGAUAUUUUCGCAUAAUAAUAGAAACACACAGUACACAAGUAUAUGUGCGUAUGCAUUGUGCCAGCUUUCGUCGUAUGGAAAUAAUUAUACAGCUAUAUCACCUGAAAUAUUAGACGAAAUUUUGAUAGAAGGCGACAAAUGCUAUUUUCAAUGUCUAAGACAACGCGAGACGUCCAUUGAUACCAGUUUCCUUAAUGUUGAAGAACUCCAGCCAAUAUUCUUUGGUCAUUAUGAAGUCGUUAUUACUAUCCACGACAUUGGGUAUGGAAAAUGGAAUGACAGAUUCGUACUCAACAACAUCAUUGCAGCUAUUGAUAGCUGUGUUUCAAGAGAAUUAAAAGAAACAACAAUAAAUAACGGAUACCUAUUCAUCGGUUUGAACAAAACUAUCGGCUUCAAAAUUUUUUUUGAUGGUAACAAAAAUACAUCAUUUAUUAUGUUCAAUUCGCACAGUAUUGACAAACACAAUCAAUACUGCAAUGAUGGUCGAGCGAAACUACUUCACUGCAACAACAGUAAAUCACUUGCUAAAUUAUUAACAGUUGAUUCUAACCCUUCUGAGACGUAUUGGCAAAUUUGUGAACUAAUUUUCAUGAAUUAUAUUAAUGACGGAAGCUGAUGAAAAAAGUUGAUAUAGUUGCUACGCUCAAUGGAAUUAGGAAAAAAUUGGACGGUAAAUAAUGGCGAAGACUUUUGUAGUGAGGAAGAAUGCUCAAUAAGCACGUUAACAUUGUGGUUCAUGUCAUUGAAGUUUAGGUUUUCGUGAACCUACAAAUGCGAAUUUUCAUGGUGGUGGUGGAGCAACUUCAAGAAAUUCAGAUAAAUCACCAUGCUUGUAUUAUUAGGCUCAUCUUGUUCUGCAACACCAGAAUUUUCAUCGCCUACUGCCCAAUAUUCUAUAGCUCCUUGUACCAAUCAAUCACCAGUGCCACUUAUGGGUUUCAAUGAAGAUAAUAUUUUCAUGCCUACACCCAGCACAGCUCAUCAUCCAACUUCGCUUAUUUCGCCUGGAACCAAAUGGAAACAUUCUCUAACAGCUCAGUCUAAUUCAAUUGUACAAUUUUUAAAAUUAGGUUUUCCAUAAUUAUAUAGUUAAGAAGCAUGGAACAAAAAAGUGGAACUGAUGUACCAUUACCUGCACUAAGUAGUGAAGAUGACAAGUAUUGGCAAGGCACUAUGAUGAAUCUAAAUAGAAAAAAUUCCACAGAUGGCACAAAGUAUCUUCUGGAUACCCGUCUCACCCUCCACUAUUACACAGUAAUGCAGUAUGCAAUUGGA